GGUUGCGAUCAUACCAGCACUAAUGCUCCGGAUCCCAUCAGAACUCCGCAGUUAAGCGUGCUUGGGCGAGAGUAGUACUAGGAUGGGUGACCCCCUGGGAAGUCCUCGUGUUGCAACCC
rnacentral:rRNA from 1 species